UACAGAGGGUGCGAACGUUGCUCGGAAUUACUGGGCGUAAAGCGCGUGUAGGCGGUCCGUUAAGUUGGUAGUGAAAUCCCAUGGCUCAACCAUGGAAGUGCUGCCAAAACUGGCGGGCUGGAGUGCCGGAGAGGGUGGCGGAAUUCCCAGUGUAGAGGUGAAAUUCGUAGAUAUCUGGAGGAAUACCGGUGGCGAAGGCGGCAUCCUGGACCGAGAUUGACACUGAUGAGCGAAAGCUAGGGGAGCAAACGGG
rnacentral:rRNA from 1 species